AUUGAACGCUGGCGGCGUGCUUAACACAUGCAAGUCGAUCGGUAACGGGUGUAGCAAUACAUGCUGACGAGAGGCGGACGGGUGAGUAAUGCUUGGGAAUCUGCCUAUUAGUGGGGGACGAACCCGGGGAAACGUCGGGCUAAUACCGCAUACGCUCUACGGAGGAAAGCCGGGGACCGCAAGGCCUGGCGCUAAUAGAUGAGCCCAAGUCGGAUUAGCUAGUUGGUAGGGUAACGGCCACCAAGGCGACAAUCCGUAGCUGGUCUGAGAGGACGACCAGCCACACCGGAACUGAGACACGGUCCGGACUCCUACGGGAGGCAGCAGUGGGGAAUAUUGGAC
rnacentral:rRNA from 1 species